rnacentral:rRNA from 1 species
AUUGAACGCUGGCGGCAGGCCUAACACAUGCAAGUCGAGCGGUAGAGAGGUGCUUGCAUCUCUUGAGAGCGGCGGACGGGUGAGUAAUGCCUAGGAAUCUGCCUAGUGGUGGGGGAUAACGUUCGGAAACGGACGCUAAUACCGCAUACGUCCUACGGGAGAAAGCGGGGGAUCUUCGGACCUCGCGCCAUUAGAUGAGCCUAGGUCGGAUUAGCUAGUUGGUGAGGUAAUGGCUCACCAAGGCGACGAUCCGUAACUGGUCUGAGAGGAUGAUCAGUCACACUGGAACUGAGACACGGUCCAGACUCCUACGGGAGGCAGCAGUGGGGAAUAUUGGACAAUAGGGCGAAAGACCUGAUCCAGCCAUGCCGCGUGUGUGAAAAGGU